CGCCGGGUCCCCGCGUACACCCGCACGCUGCUGCCCUGGAUGGGUGGCCUCCCUGAGCCCUUGGUUGCAGGGACAAUGCAAGCGGGCACCCCGAGCCCAUGGGACGUGUCAGUGCUUUAUUGCCAUGCCUGUGCAGAACUGAGUCAUGUUAAUGUUUAAUUCGAGGACUUCGUGUGAGAGGAAGGAAGUGACGGCAGGGGCUGAGAUGCCGGCAGCGCCCACUAAAGCCGUGCCGCCUUCGUGCCAUGUAAAUAGCACCGACUCUGGGAUUUCUUGAUGCUUUGCUGAAAUUAGCACCUGAAAAAAUGAGCAGCUGCCAAAGCCACAUUUAAUUAAGACGGGCAGGCCUUGGUAGGAGGAGUAGAGCGGAUCACAGAGUGCUCGGGUUCCUUAAAGUGCACCUGGCCCUGCACCGACCUCCUGAGCCUGGUAACGCAUCCUGAGCCCCACACGGUGCUUUAGGGAGCAGUGCAGGCAGCAACCAGGAUUAUAUUCCUGUUGGUUGGGGCUGGCAGAUGACAACUGUGGCUGUCUGUAAAUGAGGAGGAAUGAAACAACCCUCGCAACAAGGACAGAGCAGAGCUAAAGCAGGAUAUGCAGGCAGGGAGCUGCAAGAUGGGGAGGACUCCGUGAAGCUCAAGGGAAAUAUGGGGCCUCUGUCUGUAUGUGGCAAUGGGGUACCCAUAGAUAAGUGAGCUGGGGGAGGAAGCAGGAGGUGCAGGCCUGGACUUGCCAG
rnacentral:lncRNA from 1 species